AAGACUAUACUUUCAGGGAUCAUUUCUAUAGUUUCUGACUUGAGAAAUGUGUUUCUAAAGUGUUUGGUCUCGCCAACCACGAUGAUGAGGUGGUGAUAUUCUUUCUUGAGCGCGAAGCGGGCAGAGAGACUUGAUUUGUAUCAUACGCUCUUUGCUUUUGAUGACCGUUCACUGUCUCCUCUGGGGACUCUGAGGGAAAGAGUAUGAUCAGAGUGGUG
rnacentral:snoRNA from 1 species